GCUAUUAGUAUCCGGUUUUUUAUAUCUAUAGUUUCUUUGGGUACUUAUAAUGUAGAAUAAUGAAAAAAAUUUCUCGAACUCAAAUUUUGUGAACCAGGGGGUUGUGUCUUUUCCAACAAAAUUAAAAUGGAUCGCGCACAAAAUUUAAAAGUUGUAGUCAUAUUUUGAGUUAAUAGAUGGAAAAUUUGUUGUAUUUUUAAUUACUGUACAAAAUUUCAGACAAUUUGGUUUAGUUUAAGCCCUUUAACUAUUCAUUUUAUUCUAAAAAAUCAGCCUUUCGCAUGCUUAAUUAAUG